rnacentral:sRNA from 1 species
GUUUUCUUCUAGUAUGUUUAUAACGUACUACCUCUUACAUUUAGGUCUUCGAUUCAUUUUGCAUUAAUUUUUGUAUAUGGUAUAUUAGUCCAUUUUCACUACUGAUAAAGACAUACCCAAGACUGGGCAAUUUACAAAAGAAAGAGGUUUAAUUGUAGUUACAACUCCACAUGGCACUGGAAGCCUCACAAUCAUGGCAGAAGGCAAGGAGGAGCAAGUCACGUCUUACAUGAAUGGCAGCAGGCAAAAGAGAGAAACCGUGCAGGGAAAUUCCCAUUUUUAAAACCAUCAGAUCUCAUGAGACCCAUUCACUAUCACAAGAACGGCACAGGAAAGACCUGCCCCCAUGAUUCAGUCAUCUACCACUGGGUCCCUCCCACAACACAUGGGAAUUAUGGGAGCUACAAGAUGAGAUUUGGGUGGGGACAAAGAGCCAAACCAUAUCAGUGUGAGGUCAGGAUCCAGGGUCAUCCUUUUGCAUGUUGUUCUCCAGUUGUCCCAGGACCAUUUGUUGAAAAGAACUUUCCUCUGUUUGCUGCAUUCUUUCUUUCUUUGCUGCCUAGAGCCUUUCCCUGCCCUUCGCCCUUCUGUUACUCAUAUUUUAAGUCAAGUCUCAGCUCAGCAGUUACCCCUUCUAAGAGGCUAUCCCUGAUCAUCCCUCUGUGUGUGUGAGAGAGCCCCUUCAUGCCUUAAUCCUGAUGUUUAUCAUUGUAGGAUUUCAGCUGUUCAUCUUCCCCACUUGUUUUCCAGGCCAGGUCUUGGGAGACAGGGGCUGUGUGCUUAACAUCUUACAUUAGUGAAUGUGCACUUAUGUAUAUUCAACUUCAGGGGGAAGGGGAGAUAGUACUUGAAUCACAGUGCAAUCUUCCAUUACCUGUGAACUCUAGAUUGUACAGAAAAUCCAGUUAUAACAUGUAAUUCUUUGAGUACAUUCAGUAAUGCACCUUAGGUUUAAUGUGAGGAGCAGAACUGAUAGUUCUCUUCAACCUAAAUAUCCACUGGUAGACAGGGAAAAGCCCAGAACCCGCUCCUUGCCCCUUCUCCCUGAACCAUGGAAUGUAAGUCCUUUCAUUAGGCUACUGGGCCAAUUUUUAGACCUAAGCUCAUGGCUGGACCAAUAGCAGCCUUCAUAGAUACCAAUGCCCUGCUUUGAUGGGCUUCAGUGAAGACUCCUGACCAAUCACUGAUGGGGGGUGGUGGGAGGACUUCUGAUGGGGGAGUUGGCCUCCCUGGUCCCACACCUGCCUGGAGAAGGAGCCAAAGCCACCUAAGCAAAACUGAGCAGCCCACAGUGUCCAUCUACCAUGUCACCCCAGUGCUGAGUGAUUUCUAAAAGGUUACUUUUUUCAAUUAUUUAAAAAAACACCGAAAAUUCAAGUAAUACAGAAAUAAGUAAAGGAGAAAGUCCCCUGUAAUUUUUCAUAGAGAAAGAGGAAGGAAUGGGGGGCAGCUGUGUAAGUCAAACAUGUUUGUAAAACUCCGUGAGUUUGAAACUAGUGAAAUAGAAAGUGAAAGCCUGCUAUAAUUAUGGUGGAAUUGAGGGUGUCUUAUUGUGUUACUAGAGAAUUUUUUUAAGUAGGUUUUUAACAUUUUGACCUUGUUAAAAUGCUCUACUUUUCAAAACAGUCCUGACAGGAUAUCCUGCUUCCUUCCAUGCAGAAGAGGUGGUUUGUGCAGAAGUGCAGGCCUCAGAAGGCUUUGCACAUAAGAGGAAUGGCAAGAGUUGCCUAUCACUGAGGAUUUGGGGAGGAGGGAUCACAGGAUAUGGGACUGAAAAUGAGACAGGGCCAGAUAGCAAAAGGCCUUGAAUGCUACACUAAGCACGAAGCAGCUCCUUAAUUUGAUAUCUGGUUGUGCAUCAUUGAAGCAAGAAUAGAGUGGAGGACAUGGCCCUUGUGGUCCUCGUGUUCUGAGUGGCUGUGAGAUGGAGUUCUGUGUGAGCUCUCUACGAAGAAAAUCCCGUCUCCAGGCAGUCAGUGGAGAUUUGAUCCUUACCACCAGAGCAUGUGGACAAAUUUGAAUUAUCGUGGAUGUAUAUGGGCAGAAGAAGAUCUCAGAGCCGUAAGGGUGGGGCCCUGUUAGCUCUGUUGGUUCCAUUUUGCAACCCACAGUGUGAGUGGGACCCUGCCAGCCCUGCUAGACGUGAGCAUUGUCUGGUGACACCGGUCACCGCCUUCAUUACUGCAGCAGAAGAAGUGUGGCUGUGGCAGUUGUGGGUUUUGUAUUUUCUAUUUAAAUAUGUCCUUUAAUGUGCCAGUUCUUAAAAAGACUACCAGUGGGCUCUGAAGGGAUGCCUGGACACUUUGAAAGUGUGGUUCAGAUGUGAAAUUGCAUUUAAAAGAUGUUUAAAGAGAGACGAGGGCACGUUGAUGUCAGUUUCGGUUUGGGCUGUGUAGUAGCAGCAUUUUGAACUUGGCCCUCUCUCCUUUCUGAGAGCUAAAGACCUUAUCUCCCUGCGGACGGCAUUGCGUCCAGUUAAUUAUGGCCAGAUGGACUCAGCCGCUUCUUUAUCGUCUUCUCUCGGACUCUGCAGACCUACACCGUGUCUUUAAAGGAAGCAGGGCCCUCCCUGCUGAAGCAUUCAGUGAGCCCAGGCACCAGCACCUUCAAACCCAGUCUUUUCUCUCCUUAGUGCUGCUCCCCAUUUUCCAGGCCUUCCUGGGAUAUCUUAGAGAGAGCUCAGAAAUAUGCUCAGCAAGUCUUGCAGAAGGAAUGUCGUCCCAAGUUUGCCAAGACAUCAAUGGCACUGUUAUUUGAGCACAGGUAUAGCGUGGACUUACUCCCUUUUGUGCGGAAGGCCCCCAAAGACAGUGAAGCUGAGUCCAAGUACGAUCCUCCUUUUGGGUUCCGGAAGUUCUCCAGUAAAGUCCAGAACCUCUUGGAGCUCUUGCCAGAGCACGACCUCCCUGAACACUUGAAAGCCAAGACCUGUCGGCGCUGUGUGGUUAUUGGAAGCGGAGGAAUACUGCACGGAUUAGAACUGGGCCACACCCUGAACCAGUUCGAUGUUGUGAUAAGGUUAAACAGUGCACCAGUUGAGGGAUAUUCAGAACAUGUUGGAAAUAAAACUACUAUAAGGAUGACUUAUCCAGAGGGCGCACCACUGUCCGACCUUGAAUAUUAUUCCAAUGACUUGUUUGUUGCUGUUUUAUUUAAGAGUGUUGAUUUCAACUGGCUUCAAGCAAUGGUAAAAAAUGAAACCCUGCCGUUCUGGGUACGACUCUUCUUUUGGAAGCAGGUGGCAGAAAAAAUCCCACUGCAGCCAAAACAUUUCAGGAUUUUGAAUCCAGUUAUCAUCAAAGAGACUGCCUUUGACAUCCUUCAGUACUCAGAGCCUCAGUCAAGGUUCUGGGGCCGAGAUAAGAACGUCCCCACAAUCGGUGUCAUUGCCGUUGUCUUAGCCACACACCUGUGCGAUGAAGUCAGUUUGGCAGGUUUUGGAUAUGACCUCAAUCAACCCAGAACACCUUUGCACUACUUCGACAAUCAGUGCAUGGCUGCUAUGAACUUUCAGACCAUGCAUAAUGUGACAACGGAAACCAAGUUCCUCUUAAAGCUGGUCAAAGAGGGAGUGGUGAAAGACCUCAGCGGAGGCAUUCAUUGUGAAUUUUGAACACAGAAAACCUCAGUUGAAAAUGCAACUCUAACUCUGAGGGCUGUUUUUGACAGCCUUCUUGAUGUAUUUCUCCAUCCUGCAAAUACUUUGAAGUGCAGCUGAUGUUUUUAACUUUUAAUUUAAAAACACAAAAAAAAUUUUAGCUCUUCCCACUUUUUUUUCCUAUUUAUUUGAGGUCAGUGUUUGUUUUUGCACACCAUUUUGUAAAUGAAACUUAAGAAUUGGAAAGACUUCUCAAAGAGAAUUGUAUGUAAUGAUGUUGUAUUGAUUUUUAAGAAAGUAAUUUAAUUUGUAAAACUUCUGUUCGUUUACACUGCACAUUGAAUACAGAUAACUAAUUGGAAGGAGAGGGGAGGUCACUCUUUUGAUGGUGGCCCUGAGCCUCAUUCUGGUUCCCUGCUGGGCUGCUUGGUGUGACCCACGGAGGAUCCACUCCCAGGAUGACGUGCUCCAUAGCUAUGCUGCUGAAACGGUCUGCAACGCAGCGGCGUGAGGCCUGGGCUGGUCGGAGAAGGUCACAGCCCUUCUCUGUUGGUCUGCCUUCUGUCGAAAGACUCGAGAACCAACCAGGGAAGCUGUCCUGGAGGUCCCUGGUCGGGGAGGGACAUAGAAUCUGUGUCCUCUGACAACUGUGAAACCACCCUGGGCUGCAGAAACCACAGUCUUCCCAGCAAUUAUUACAAUUCUUGAAUUCCUUGGGGAUUUUUUACUGCUCUUUCAAAGCACUUAAGUGUUAGAUCUAACAUGUUCCAGUGUCUGUCUGAGGUGACUUAAAAAAUCAGAACAAAACUAUUAUCCAGAGUCAUGGGAGAGUACACCCUUUCCAGGAAUAAUGUUUUGGGAAAUACUGAAAUGAAAUCUUCCCAGUAUUAUAAAUUGUGUAUUUAAAAAAAAGAAACUUUUCUGAAUGCCUACCUGGCGGUGUAUACCAGGCAGUGUGCCAGUUUAAAAAGAUGAAAAAGAAUAAAAACUUUUGAGG